UGACUGAAGGACAUGGAGACUGACUCCUGCGUGCUGGACCUCAGCCACAAUCACAGCCAAACACCAACACAGCCAGCAGGCUUGGUGCACCAGUUCCUCCUGCAGCAAAGCACACCCACAACAUGAUGCUGCCACCCCCGUCCUUCACGGCUAGGAUGGUGUUCUUCGGCUUGCAAGCCUUUUUGUUUCAUCAGACCAGAGGACAUUUCUCCAAAAAGUAAGAUCUUUGUCCCCAUGUGCAGUUGCAAACCGUAGUCUGGCUUUUUUUAUGGCGGGUUUGGAGCAGUGGCUUCUUCCUUGCUGAGCGGCCUUUCAGGUUGUGUCGAUAUCGAACUCGUUUUUACUGUGGAUAUAGAUACUUUUGUACCCGUUUCCUCCAGCAUCUUCACAAGGUAUUUUGCUGGAUUCGAACCAGGGUGUCCAGUAGUGACGCCUUCAGGCGUUUGGAAGUUGCUCCCAAGGAUGAACCAGAUAUGUGAAGGUCUACAAUUUUUUUCUGAGGUCUUGGCUGAUUUCUUUUGAUUUUCCCAUGAUGUCAAGCAAAGAGGCACUGGGUUUGAAGGUAGGCCUUGAAAUACAUCCACAGGUACACCUCCAAUUGACUCAAAUGAUGUCAAUUAGCCUAUCAGAAGCUUCUAAAGCCAUGACAGAAUUUUCCAAGCUCUUAAAAGGUACAGUCAACUUAGUGUAUGUAAACUUCUGACCCACUGGAAUUGUGAUACAGUGAAUUAUAGGUGAAAUAAUCUGUCUGUAAACAAUUGUUGGAAAAAUACUUGUCACAAAGUAGAUGUCCUAACCGACUUGCCAAAACUAUAGUUUGUUAACAAGAAAUGUGUGUUGUGGUUGAAAAACUAGUUUUAAUGACUCCAACCUAUGUUUUUGUAAACUUCCUACUUUAACUGUGUGUGUGUGUGUCCGUCCGUCCGUCCGUCCGUCAGAUAAUCAAGGAAGUAAUGGAGUCUGAGACGCAGGUGCGUGUAACGAUUGUGACAGGUGUGCCCCAUAACGAGCAGCCUGGUGAGCUAGAAACUGGAGAGGGAGCUCAUGUGACAAUUUUUGAUAUUCUUCAUUGUACCCACCCUUUGCCUUGAUAAGAGCUUUGCACACUCUUGGCAUUCUCUCAACCAGCUUCAUGUUGUAGUCCCCUGGAAUGCAUUUCAAUUAAUAGGUGUGCCUUGAUAUUUUGUGGAAUUUCUUUCAUUAAUGCGUUUGAUCCAAUCAUUUGGGUUGUGUCAAGGUAGGGUGGUAUACAGAAGAUAGCCCUAUUUGGUAGAAGACCAAGUCCAUAUUAUGGCAAGAACAGCUCAAAUAAGCAAAGAGAAACUACAGUCCAUCAUUACUUGAAGACAUGAAGGUCAGCCAAUGCUGAACAUUUCAAGAACUUUGAAAAACCAUCAAGCACUAUGAUGACACUAUCUCUAAUGAGGACCGCCACAGGAAAGGAAGGCCCAGUUACCUCUGCUGCAGAGGUUAAGUUUAUUAGAGGUACCAGCCUCAGAAAUUGUAGCCCAAAUAAAUGCUUCAGAGUUCGAGUAACAGACACAUCUCAACAUCAACUGUUCAGAGGAGACUGUAUGAAUUGGGUCUUCAUGGUCGAAUUGCUGCAAAGAAACCACUACUAAAGGACACAAAUAAUAAUAAGAGACUUGCUAUGGCCAAGAAACAGGAGCAAUGGACAUUAGACCAGUGGAAAUCUGUCCUUUUUGGUCUGAUGAGUCCAAAUUAGAGAUUUUUGAUCCCAUCCGCUGUGUCUUUGUGAGACUCAGUAGGUGAACGGAUGAUCUCAGUAUGUGUGGUUCCCACUGUUUAGCAUGGAGGAGGUGUGAAGGUGUGGGGGUUCUUUGCUGGUGACAUGGUCUAUGAUUUAUUUAGAAUUCGAGGCAUACUUUACUUGUUAUGGCUGCAAUCCCGUUAACGGGAUAAUUAUCAUCAACAACCGCUGAAUAGCAUAGCGCCACAUUCAUGCAAUAAUACAAAAAAUUCAUGUUCAUGAAAUCACAAGUGCAAUAUAGGAAAGCACAGCUUAGCCUUUUGUUAAUCCACCUGUCAUGUCAGAUAUUGAAAUUAUGCUUUACAGUGAAAGCAAUCCAAGCAUUUGUAAGUUUUAUUGAUCGCUUGACAAAACAUUAAGUACACUUACCAUCAAGUAGCUCGGACACGUAAAUCAGAAAAGCAAUCAAAUUAAUCGUUUACCUUUGAUCUUCGGAUGUUUUCACUCACGAGACUCCCAGUUACAGAAUAAAAGUUCCUUUUGUUCCAUAGAUUAUUUUUAUAUCCAAAAUACCUCCGUUUGUUUGGCGCGUUAUGUUUAGAAAUCCACAGGAAAGAGCGGUCACGACAACGCAGACAAAUUCACAGAAACAUGUCAAAUGUUUUUAUAAUCAAUCCUCAGGUUGUUUUUAAAAUAUAUAAUUGAUAAUAUAUCAACCGUAACGGUCUUGUUCAGUAGGACAGUGAACGGCAAUGUCUGCCCAAACUCUGUUGCGCGAGCAAAACUCAUGCGAACAACUCAUGCGAACACUUGACGCGAUGUUAUCAGUCUGGCUCAUUUUUCUAAAUAAAAGCCUGAAACUAUGUUUGAAGACUGACACCUUGAGGAAGCGAUAGGAAAAGGAAUCUGGUUGAUAUCCCUUUAAAUGAAGCAAAGGGAGGCUAUGGAACAUGGAGUUUUCAAUAGAAGCCACUUCCUGGUUUGAUAUUCCUCAGGGUUUCACCUGUAAUAUCAGUUCUUUUAUACUCACAGACAAUAUUUUGACAGUUUUGGAAACGUUAGUGUUUUCUAUCCAAUACUAAUAAUAAUAUACAUAUAUUAGCAGCUGAGACUGAGGAGCUGGCUGUUUACAAUGGGCACCUUUUCAUCCAAGCUACUCAAUACUGCCCCUGCAGCCAUAAGAAGUUAACCAACAUGGCUACCACAGCAUUCUGCAGCGAUACGCCAUCCCAUCUGGUUUGUGCUUAGUGGGACUAUAAUUUGUUUUUAAACAGGACAAUUACCCCAAACACACCUCCCAGGCUGUAUUUCUGUAAGGGCUAUCUGACCAAGGAGGAGAGUGAUGGAGUGCUGCAUCAGAUGACCUGGCCUCCACAAUCACCUGAGAUGGUUUGGGAGGAGUUGGAAUGCAGAGUGAAGGAAAAGCAUUGAACAAUUGCUUGACUUAUGUGGGAACUCCUUCUAGACUGUUGGAAAAGCAUUCCAGGUGAAGCUGGUUGAGAGAAAGCUUUACACACUCUUGGCAAUCAGCAUGGCAAAGGGGUGGCUACUUUGAAGAAUCUAAAAUAUAUUUUAGAUUCUUCAAAAACUUUUUGGGUUGCUACAUGAUUCCAUGUGUGAUUGUAUAGUUUUGAUGUCUUCACUGUUAUUCUACAAUAGAUAAACCAUUGAAUGAGUAGGUGUGUCUAAACUUUUCACUGGUUCUGUAUGUGCAUAUUAUUUUUGUGUAAGCAAAUGAUGAAUUGAGUGUUAAUGCGUAUGUUGGAGUGACAGUUUGCAUGAGUGUGUAAUCGAUAAUUACUUGUGAGUGUGCAUAGGGAGAGUGCAAAAUAAAAUACAAGUGUCAACUCUGUCUGUGUAGCCAUUUUGUUAGCUAUUUAGUGGUCUUAUGGCUUGGGGAGAAAAACUGUUCAAGAACCCUGUUGGUGUCAGACUUAAUGUAACGUUUGUUCUCUGUGCUUCCCGACAACAGUCUAUAGCUUGGGUGGCUGGAGUCUUUAAUGAUUUUCCGGGCCUUCCUUUCACACUGAUAUAGAGGUCCAGGAUGUCAGGGAGCUCAGCCCCAGUAAUGUACGGAGCUGUCCACACCACCCUCUGUAGCACCAUGCUAUCGAGUGUGGUGCUUUUAACUAAACCAAGCAAUGAAUUAGCCAGUCAAGAUGCUCUCAAUUGUACAGCUGUAGACAUUUUUGAGGAUUUGAGGGCCCAUGCCAAACCUUUUCAACCUCCUGAGUGGGAAGAGGCACUUUCGCACCUUCUUCACGACUGUGAGUGUAUAUGUGGACCAUUUGAGUCAUUAGUGAUAUUGGACUGAAGAUCUCGACCUACUUCACUGCAGCCCAGUUGAUGUGGAUGGGGGAGUGCUCGCCCUCCAGUUUCCUGUAGUCCCACAAUCAGCUCCUUGGACUUACUGACGUUGAAGGAGAGAUUGUUGUCCUGACACCACCCUGCCAGGUCACUGACCUCCUCCCUGUAGGCCCUCUCAUUGUCGCCGGUGAUCAGGCCUACCACCGUCGUGUCGUCAGCAUGCCCACACAGUUUUGGGUGAACAGGGAGUACAGGAGGGGACUAAGCACACAACCCUGUGGGGCCCCCGUGUUGAGGGUCAGCGUGGCGGAGGAGAUGUUACCCGGAGGGGAUUCCUACCCUCAUCACCUGCGGUCUGCCCGUCAGGAAGUCCAUGAUCCAGGUGCAGAAGGUCCUAAGCUUGGUGACGAGCUUGGAGGGGACAAUUGUGCUGAACGCUGAGCUGUAGUCAAUGAACAGCAUUCUCACAUAGGUAUACCUCUUUUCUAGGCGGGUAAGGGCAGUGUGGAGUGUAAUUGAGAUUGCGUCGUCUAUGGAUCUGUUUGGGCAGUAUGCAAAUUGGAGUGGCUCUGAGAUGGAGUUGAUGUGUACUAUAACCAGCCUCUCAAAGCGCUUCACGAUUAUAGAUGUGAGUGCUGCAGGGUGGUAGUCAUUGUGGGAGAGAGCGAGAAUCUUGUUUAUACCUGCUCUUGUGGUCCCUGCAGUCUCAUUCUAGCCCAGCGUCUUACUGUGUUUUUGGCUUUGUUAUCAGCCAAUUACCUGUAGGCAACUGUGCUUACAUGCUUGUGCGUAUGUUAUCAGUGUCAGCAUCUCUGUGACUGUGGUAGUCACAAGGCUGAGGACCUGGCUUUAUCAUUGUGUGACAAACAGGUGAAGGUUAGUUAAUGCUCCCCCUGCUAGUUCUACUCUCAGUGGACGCUCAGACAGGACAGACACACCAGAUGACUACUGCAUGAGUCAUCAGAGAAAAGACUGUUCGCUUAUGCCCCUGGCCUCUCAGACUCAACACACACUCACUGAAGAGCAUGCACACACACACUUUAAAAAUAUAUUAUUUUUUUUACUUAACUUUUAUUUAACUAGGCAAGUCAGUUAAAACAAAUUCUUAUUUACAAUGAUGGCCUAGGAACAGUGGGUUAACUGUCUUGUUCAGGGGCAGAACGACAGAUUUUUACCUUGUCAGCUUGGGGAUUUGAUUUCGCAACCUUUCAGUUACUGGCCCAAACCUCUAAUCACUAGGCUACCUAAUAUAUCAUUCCUCGCUGUGUAAAGUAAUUUAGACACUUAGUAACUGUUAAUAUUGUUGCCCUUAUACCAUCAUGUAUUUACUGUACGUCUACAUCUGGCAACUACAAUCUAAUUACUUAGCUGUAAUCAGUAGCUGUAGAUAAUGACAAAUUAUUUAAUUGUGAUGAAAGCAAACCACUUUAGUUGCAUUCUGUUUUUAAAUUAACGGUUUGAGCGUUUUGUGUUGAUGCACAUCGGAUAUACAAUAAAAAUUGUUCAAUGUUACACAUAUUGCCAUAAGGUGGAGAAAAAUGUUUGCAGUUUUAAUAUUUAUUCUUAAUUAUUAUUUUUAUUUUUACUUUUUAUUUAACUAGGCAAGUCUUAUGGCUGCUGUCCCUGUACAGGGAUCAACAUCAGGGGAAAUUUCAGAGUGACAAAUAAAAAUACAAUUUCGUAACAUUAAACAUUCUUGAAAAUGCAAGUGUCUUACACCCUUCAAAAGAUUAGAAUCUUGGUAAUCAAACUACGUUUUCCAAUUUAAAAUAUCUAUUACAGAGAACAAAUCCCAUGCUUUUGUUUGAGAAGAGCAAUCAAGAACAGAAACAUUUUCUGACAUGACAGUUUUUACACAUUUACAUCUGAAGGUAAAAUUAUGACUUACAUUCUGAUAUCUUGCUCUUAUUUCUCUUCCUGAGUAUCCCAUUGAUCAAAUGAAGUGCCGUUUUCUUUGAUAAAAUCCAUUUUUAUAGCCUAAAUCUAAACAUUUUGUAAACUAUUUGUGCAGUGAAUUCCAUCUCUAUCAAUUUCUUACGGAGCAUUCGGCGUGAUUCGCCCCUGUAAACAAUCGUGUACAUAGUCAUGGUGGGUGUCAGUGCAUUCCUAUGGAUGUUUGCAACACAGUCAAACAACAGUUUUUUUUGCGGGGAGAAUUGACCGAAGUGAGCUGAUUUGAAGACAACGAUAAAUGACUACCUGACGCACCAAUAAUUUUAACGAAGAUUCAUUGAUUGACUAUAGUUCUGCCCAAUGACCACUGAUCUUCUUGAAAUCUAGCUGGGUAGAUAGCCAAUGAGCUGAGGUAAACGCCAGUAUGUAAUGGUUUGGGUUUUGACCACAAUUCCUUUGUUGUAAUCGUACACGCAGGGAACUCCAUUUUUGCCUUGACGAUCAGAGCAGUUGCUGUAAGGCUUUUUACGCGUAGCUGUAUUUCGGAAAGUUGUAGUUUCAACGAUUUCAUUGAAGAUAUCCUGGCAAAUACUUCAUGUAAAGCGAAAACUCUAAAGUAAAAGUGAAAGUGAGACAGAUUUUUUUUGUUUGAGGAAUCUUGGAGUGUUAUCAUUCAAACGAACUGAGGAGCGGAAGUACAGGAUGUACUUCUGGACGGUGAUAGCGACUCCGACGCCAAGCUGCCCACUACCUGUGCCCCCAGUGGUGUUCAUAUGCCACAGUUCAUUACUGCAGGCAUGACUGUGCCUCAGAGCCAAAAGGGCACAGCAUGGAGGCGUCGUUGUGUUCUGUGUCGCAUGAAAUGCAUCACUUGUUCAGUUUGCCUCUGCUUUACAUCAGAAAGAGACUGCUAUGGGACAUGGCACAGGCAGCAAAAUAUUAUGACGAGGACUUCCAAAGGCUGUGUACAGUUUUUUUUAGUUUUUUUUAUUUAUUUCUAAUAUUUUUUUAACAUUUUUGUGUGUGUAUGUGUGUUAGAAUUGCUUUUUGAUAUGUUGUAUAUAGUUAUUUGCACUGCUGUAUAUAGUUAUAGGUCAUUUCACCAAUUCGGCCACUUGGGUACAUUUGGGCAGCUUGUGUGGGACACCUGGGUGACUUCAUGCUAAAUAUCAUGUAGCUCAGCCAUUCCUGAAGUUAUCAGUCUCAAACUUUACACACCUACAGUUGCCCUCUUGUGUUAUCCAUCAAAAUGAUCUCCAGAAUCCUAUCUGACUGUGUGGCUAUUCUAGUACAUGUGAAUGAUGAUACUACAACAAUAAAAAACAGAAAACGUA